AACGGCCGUACCAUGCUGAAUAUACCGGUUCUCGUUAGAUCACCGAAGUCAAGCAUCAUUGGGCGCGGUCAGUACUUGGGUGGGUGACCACCUGGGAACACCGCGUGGCGU